GACGAACGCUGGCGGCGUGCUUAACACAUGCAAGUCGAGCGGUAAGGCCUUUCGGGGUACACGAGCGGCGAACGGGUGAGUAACACGUGGGUGAUCUGCCCUGCACUUCGGGAUAAGCCUGGGAAACUGGGUCUAAUACCGGAUAUGACCUCCUAUCGCAUGGUGGGUGGUGGAAAGAUUUAUCGGUGCAGGAUGGGCCCGCGGCCUAUCAGCUUGUUGGUGGGGUAAUGGCCUACCAAGGCGACGACGGGUAGCCGACCUGAGAGGGUGACCGGCCACACUGGGACUGAGACACGGCCCAGACUCCUACGGGAGGCAGCAGUGGGGAAUAUUGCACAAUGGGCGAAAGCCUGAUGCAGCGACGCCGCGUGAGGGAUGACGGCCUUCGGGUUGUAAACCUCUUUCAGCAGGGACGAAGCGCAAGUGACGGCACCUGCAGAAGAAGCACCGGCUAACUACGUG
rnacentral:rRNA from 1 species